UACGUAGGGACCAAGCGUUGUUCGGAAUCACUGGGCGUAAAGCGCACGUAGGCGGCUUUCUAAGUCAGGGGUGAAAUCCUGGAGCUCAACUCCAGAACUGCCUUUGAUACUGGAGAGCUUGAGUUCGGGAGAGGUGAGUGGAACUGCGAGUGUAGAGGUGAAAUUCGUAGAUAUUCGCAAGAACACCAGUGGCGAAGGCGGCUCACUGGCCCGAAACUGACGCUGAGGCACGAAAGCGUGGGGAGCAAACAGG
rnacentral:rRNA from 1 species